rnacentral:lncRNA from 1 species
UUUGAUCAAAAUGAGUCUAACAGUAGAGACAAAAUAUAGUUCUUUUCUUCGAAUGCGCGACUCCCCUUUCCCAAAAAACAGAGUGUCAUCACCAUCAUGCCCAAAACAACAGUAAAAAUCAUUACCCUUUUCCCCUCUUUCUUCCUUCCACUCUCCCCAUCCACCAAAAUGAGAAACCCUAGCUGACAUCGCUAUCGCAGCUCCGCCGCAGGCCUGCAAGAUUCUCCUCUAUUUCGCACUGUUUCAGACCGUGACUCCAUUUUAACAGAGAAAAUCUGACUCAAAUCGGUGUAAAACAAAAAUUUGAUCCUGGGGAAAGCUUUGAAAGCUGAAGAUUUUGGAGAAAUCCGAAUUCCUUCUCUAGAUUCUUGCGUUUUUCCUCAACUUUGGCUUCAAAUCCAGACUUGAAAAUAGGGUGUUUUCCAAUCCUAAAGUAAAAAGGAGAUUUAAUUAUAAUUGAAUUGGUCUCAAAGUAUUUUCCUUGAUUGUACUUUUGAGUUUUAUUGCAAAUAGAUUUAAUUUAGGGUUUUGCUACGUGGCUUGAUUCAGUUUUUUUUUUUUUUUUUUUUUUUUUUUUUUUUUCUGUAUUACAUUUGACUAUUAAUUGAGCUUUUGUUGAUUCCUACACCCCCUUUAAUAAACUAUUCACGUAUAGAAAAUUAAAAGUAAUUUUACUAAUUUACCCUAAUUAAAUUUUGUUUUAUGUAAGUUGACAUUGAUUAUUAUAUAUAAACUCAAUGGUAUAUUAAAAAAUUAUGAUCAAAGUAUUCUUGAAGAUCUAAGCAUACAUUUAUUUAGGAACAAAAUUGCAACCAAAAGGAGCUCAAUUUCAG